rnacentral:rRNA from 1 species
GACGAACGUUGGCGGCGUGCUUAAUACAUGCAAGUCAACUGAAGCAGUGGUAGCAAUAUCGCUGUGGAGGUGGCGCACGGGUGAGUAACACGUAGGUAAUCUGCCUUCAGGUCUGGCAUAACUCCGGGAAACCGGGGCUAAUAGCAGAUGAUGCAGCGGCUCGACAUCGAGACAGUUGUUAAAGCUAUGGCGCCUGAAGAUGAGCCUGCGUCUGAUUAGCUAGUUGGCGGGGUAACGGCCCACCAAGGCAACGAUCAGUAGCUGGUCUGAGAGGAUGAUCAGCCACACUGGAACUGAGACACGGUCCAGACUCCUACGGGAGGCAGCAGUAAGGAAUAUUGCUCAAUGGGAGAAAUCCUGAAGCAGCAACGCCGCGUGAGGGACGAAGGGCUUUUGCUUGUAAACCUCUGUAGUGAGAGAAAAAAAUCACAAUCUUUGGGACAUGAUGGUAUCUCAAAAGUAAGCCCCGGCUAACUACGUG